rnacentral:rRNA from 1 species
CAGCUCUCCGUGUGGUAGGGAUGAUUAUUGGGCUUAAAGCGUCCGUAGCCGGCUUAGCAAGUCUCCUGUUAAAUUCAGCGACCUAAUCGUUGACCCGCGGGAGAUACUACUAGGCUAGGAGGCGGGAGAGGUCGACGGUACUUCUGGGGUAGGGGUGAAAUCCUAUAAUCCCGGGAGGACCACCAGUGGCGAAGGCUGUCGACUAGAACGCGCUCGACGGUGAGGGACGAAAGCUGGGGGAGCGAACCGGAUUAGAGACCCGAGUAGUCC